UAAGGUGUAAAUCACUAUUGCUCUCUGGUGGUAUGAUUCGGAACUGGUAAUUAACCCACAUUACCUUCCCGGACGUUAGGUGGCAGUAAACACUUGCUGUUGGUCACCAAACGUUACUAAUGAAGACAGAAGAAGACAUAUGAGGAAGUUUUGCCGCGUUUCUUUGUUUUGGAUCUUCAUGCUCAGUUUUUUUUUGACGUUUCGAUACUUCAGAAACGUUUUAUUUCGCUUACGAAUAACGAGCUAAAUGCAAUUUUAUGAUUCUGUUUUGAUUGAACGCAUAUGAGCUAAUUUAGUAUACAGCUUCUCUGUCGACUAGCUACUGUAGCUAGUUAACGUUAGUUAGCAACACAGGAGCCUUGACGUCAGUCGCUAAGGCUUGCUCAUAUCAUGGAUGGUGAAAACAAACCCUGCCUGCUGCUCUCCUUUACCGCACCUAAAUCUGAGGGUCCUGAUUGUAACAGAGUGAACAGCAGACUCCAGAGAUGGCAUCAGUGAAGCAGGAAGACUGCAGUCAAACACUGGGGCUGAAUGUCAACAUUAAAGAUGAAGUAAAGGAGGAAGAGAUUGAAACAUUUGUGUAUCAUGGGCCGGCUGGAGAGUUCAAAGAAAACACGGAAGAACACCAAGUCUUACUACUCAAAGAUAAAGGAAGAAGAAAACCAAAAGGAAUGGAGAAAGAAACUGAAAAAAAGAGGCACCGAUUCACCCCUGGAGAUGAGGAUCUUAUUAUUUCAGGGGUACUUGUGCACUGGGAGGACCUCUUCGGCGCCCAGGCCCACAUUCGCCCCCGGGGGUCAAAGACGGCAACCUGGAACACCAUCGCUGGGACCUUGACCUCGGCUGUGGCGAGAUGUGGUGACGAUGUCCGGAAGAAGUACAAUCUCAUACGGAGCCAAAUCAAGCAAAAGGUUUCUUCUAUCCGGACAUUGUCUGGUGGGGGGCCCAACACCGUGCCGGCGCUGACCGACCUGGAGCAGCAACUUUUCUCCCGAAUGGCAGAGACCGAAGCUGGUGUAGUGCCUGUUGAUUUGGGAUUUGGUCUCUCUCAGGGAGAAAUCUCCAGCUCUGGUCCCCCACCAACACCAGAGGGAACUGUGGAGUCAGCUUUACCCUCUGUCACCAUGGAGGAGCUACCCUCCACCUCACCAUCAACACCUUGGCCAGCACCAACAGUGCCACCCCAACCCAUCACCUCCCGUCCUGCACCAGCUCACUCUGGCUCUGCUCCCCAACCCAUCACCUCCCGUCCUGCACCAGCUCACUCAAUCCACUCUCAAUCAAUGAAUCAAAUUUAUUUUAUAAAGCCCUUUUUACAUCAGCAGUUGUCACAAAGUGCUUUACAGAUACCCAGCCUAAAAUCCCAAAUAGCAAGCAAUGCAGAUGCACUCUCUGGCACCGCACCCCAACCCAUCACCUCCUGUCCUGCACCAGCUCAUUCCAUCCACUCUGGCUUUGCUCCCCAACCCAUCACCUCCUGUCCUGCACCAGCUCAUUCCAUCCACUCUGGCUUUGCUCCCCAACCCAUUACCUCCUGUCCUGCACCAGCUCAUUCCAUCCACUCUGGCUUUGCUCCCCAACCCAUCACCUCCUGUCCUGCACCAGCUCAUUCCAUCCACUCUGGCUUUGCUCCCCAACCCAUCACCUCCUGUCCUGCACCAGCUCAUUCCAUCCACUCUGGCUUUGCUCCCCAACCCAUUACCUCCUGUCCUGCACCAGCUCAUUCCAUCCACUCUGGCUUUGCUCCCCAACCCAUUACCUCCUGUCCUGCACCAGCUCAUUCCAUCCACUCUGACUCUACACCCCAACCCAUCACGUCUGGCUGGACACCACAAGGCCCCCAAGCCAUUCUGCUCCAACAAAUCCUGGACACACAAACGCAACAAAUCCAUGCUACACAGACCGCCCAACACAUCCACCAAGCUCUUUAUGAUUUAUUAGAAAAAGCACAUGAAACACAGAAGGCACACCUGGAUGUGGAGAAGAACCGGCUCCAGCUGGAUAGAGAGCGCUUGAGGGUGGAGACAGAGCGCCUGCAGGUGGAGAGGGAGCGCCUCAAGAUGGAGAAGGAUCGCCUGGGGGAAGGGGAGGCGCUUCGGCAGCUCUCUGUCUCUGGGUCAGUCGCCCUAGAACACCAGACGCCUGUGAGUUCAAGAACUGCCAGUGCCUCAGCCACCUUUCCUCUGGGAACACCAUCAGCCUCCAUGUCCAGUCCCCUCACAUUAAUAUCACCUACUGCACCACACUUUGAUUCCCCAUUCCCAUUACCGGUAAUCACAACCCAUUCCACCCAGCCAUCACAAACCAGCCCUGCCCCAACCUCUCCUACCUUAACCAGCCCUGCCCCAACCUCUGCUACCUUAACCAGCCCUGCCCCAACCUCUGCUACCUUAACCAGCCCUGCCCCAACCUCCCCUGCCUUAACCGUUCCUGCCCCAACCUCCCCUACCUUAACCGUUCCUGCCCACUCUCUCAUCCCUCCAAUCUCCAGAUCUGUUAAACGGCGAGUUCAGGAGACAGUCCGGCCUUGGUCUGCACCCACUGCUAAGAAUCAAAAACAUCAAUAA
ensembl:lncRNA